rnacentral:rRNA from 1 species
UUUAGUUCAUUUAGAGGAAUCUGUUUAAUAAUUGAUAAUCCACGAAUAAAUUUACUUAAUUUUUUAUUUUGUAUAUCGUUGUUAAAAAAAUAUUUUUUAAUAAUAAUAAUAUUUAAAAAUUUUGAUUAAAAAUUAAAUCAGAUCAAGAUGCAGAUUAUAAUUAAGAAUAUAAUGGAUUACAAUAAAUUUAUUUAGAUGAAUAUUAAUUUGUAAAAGUUAAUUGAAGG